CAAGUGAUGCCCAAAACUCCUGUAUAACUCCUUACUUGGAAGCUGAAAGUGCAUGCAUUCAAAAUAUGCAGGAUAUAUCGCAGCUAAAGUAUGGCAGUGCUUCUAAUUUGAGCAAUACAGAUAUUGAAAUGCUUGAAGAUUGUGAUAGAUUGGACAAUGAAUCUGUUGUGCAUGAGAGUGAAACUAAAGAGAAUUCAAGUACAUUUGGGUCAGAU